UUCCUUGGAACAGGACGUCAUAGAGGGUGAGAAUCCCGUAUGUGACCGGCCGCCACGCCCGUGUGAAGCUCCUUCGACGAGUCGAGUUGUUUGGGAAUGCAGCUCAAAAUGGGUGGUAAAUUUCAUCUAAAGCUAAAUAUUGGCCAGAGACCGAUAGCGCACAAGUAGAGUGAUCGAAAGAUGAAAAGCACUUUGGAAAGAGAGUCAAACAGUACGUGAAAUUGUUGAAAGGGAAGCGCUUGCAACCAGACUUGGCCGCGGGUGAUCAGCCGGUAUUCUUACCGGUGCACUCACCCGUGGUCAGGCCAGCAUCGGUUCGGACGGCUGGAUAAAGUCCACUGGAAUGUAGCUCCUCUCGGGGAGUGUUAUAGCCAGAGGUGCCAUGCAGCCCGCCCGGACCGAGGACCGCGCUUCGGCUAGGAUGCUGGCGUAAUGGUUGUAAGCGACCCGUCUUGAAACACGGACCAAGGAGUCUAACAUCUAUGCGAGUGUUUGGGUGUCAAACCCAUGCGCGUAAUGAAAGUGAACGGAGGUGGGAACCCUCAAGGGUGCACCAUCGACCGAUCCUGAUGUCUUCGGAUGGAUUUGAGUAAGAGCAUAGCUGUUGGGACCCGAAAGAUGGUGAACUAUGCCUGAAUAGGGUGAAGCCAGAGGAAACUCUGGUGGAGGCUCGCAGCGGUUCUGACGUGCAAAUCGAUCGUCAAAUUUGGGUAUA
rnacentral:rRNA from 1 species